ACGAACGCUGGCGGCACGCUUAACACAUGCAAGUCGAACGAGAGAAGAGGAGCUUGCUUUUCUGAUCUAGUGGCGGACGGGUGAGUAACACGUGAGCAAUCUGCCUUUCAGAGGGGGAUACCGAUUGGAAACGAUCGUUAAUACCGCAUAACAUAAUUGAACCGCAUGAUUUGAUUAUCAAAGAUUUAUCGCUGAAAGAUGAGCUCGCGUCUGAUUAGCUAGUUGGUAAGGUAACGGCUUACCAAGGCGACGAUCAGUAGCCGGACUGAGAGGUUGAUCGGCCACAUUGGGACUGAGACACGGCCCAGACUCCUACGGGAGGCAGCAGUGGGGAAUAUUGCACAAUGGAGGAAACUCUGAUGCAGCGAUGCCGCGUGAGGGAAGAAGGUUUUAGGAUUGUAAACCUCUGUCUUCAGGGACGAAAAAAGACGGUACCUGAGGAGGAAGCUCCGGCUAACUACGUGCCAGCAGCCGCGGUAAUACGUAGGGAGCGAGCGUUGUCCGGAAUUACUGGGUGUAAAGGGAGCGUAGGCGGGAUCGCAAGUCAGAUGUGAAAACUAUGGGCUUAACCCAUAAACUGCAUUUGAAACUGUGGUUCUUGAGUGAAGUAGAGGUAAGCGGAAUUCCUAGUGUAGCGGUGAAAUGCGUAGAUAUUAGGAGGAACAUCAGUGGCGAAGGCGGCUUACUGGGCUUUAACUGACGCUGAGGCUCGAAAGCGUGGGGAGCAAACAGGAUUAGAUACCCUGGUAGUCCACGCCGUAAACGACGAUUACUAGGUGUGGGGGGACUGACCCCUUCCGUGCCGCAGCAAACGCAAUAAGUAAUCCACCUGGGGAGUACGACCGCAAGGUUGAAACUCAAAGGAAUUGACGGGGGCCCGCACAAGCAGUGGAGUAUGUGGAUUAAUUCGAAGCAACGCGAAGAACCUUACCAGGUCUUGACAUCGUAUGCAUAGCUCAGAGAUGAGUGAAAUCUCUUCGGAGACAUAUAGACAGGUGGUGCAUGGUUGUCGUCAGCUCGUGUCGUGAGAUGUUGGGUUAAGUCCCGCAACGAGCGCAACCCUUACUGUUAGUUGCUACGCAAGAGCACUCUAGCAGGACUGCCGUUGACAAAACGGAGGAAGGUGGGGAUGACGUCAAAUCAUCAUGCCCCUUAUGACCUGGGCCUCACACGUACUACAAUGGCUGUCAACAGAGGGAAGCAAAGCCGCGAGGUGGAGCGAACCCCUAAAAGCAGUCUUAGUUCGGAUUGUAGGCUGCAACCCGCCUACAUGAAGUCGGAAUUGCUAGUAAUCGCAGAUCAGCAUGCUGCGGUGAAUACGUUCCCGGGCCUUGUACACACCGCCCGUCACGCCAUGGGAGUCGGUAACACCCGAAGCCUGUAGUCUAACCGCAAGGAGGACGCAGUCGAAGGUGGGAUUGAUGACUGGGGUG
rnacentral:rRNA from 1 species